rnacentral:rRNA from 1 species
UACGGAGGAUGCGAGCGUUAUCCGGAUUUAUUGGGUUUAAAGGGUGCGCAGGCGGAUUUUUAAGUCAGCGGUCAAAUCGCGGGGCUCAACCCCGCCCAGCCGUCGGAACUGCCGGGCUAGAGUGGGCGAGAAGUGCGCGGAAUGCGUGGUGUAGCGGUGAAAUGCAUAGAUAUCACGCAGAACUCCGAUUGCGAAGGCAGCGCACCGGCGCCCUACUGACGCUCAGGCACGAAAGCGUGGGUAUCGAACAGG